GAUGAACGCUGGCGGCGUGCCUAAUACACGCAAGUUGAGCGAACGGACGAGAAGCUUGCUUCUCUGAUGUUAGCGGCGGACGGGUGAGUAACACGUGGAUAACCUACCUAUAAGACUGGGAUAACUUCGGGAAACCGGAGCUAAUACCGGAUGAUAUUUUGAACCGCAUGGUUCAAAAGUGAAAGACGGUCUUGCUGUCACUUAUAGAUGGAUCCGCGCUGCAUUAGCUAGUUGGUAAGGUAACGGCUUACCAAGGCAACGAUGCAUAGCCGACCUGAGAGGGUGAUCGGCCACACUGGAACUGAGACACGGUCCAGACUCCUACGGGAGGCAGCAGUAGGGAAUCUUCCGCAAUGGGCGAAAGCCUGACGGAGCAACGCCGCGUGAGUGAUGAAGGUCUUCGGAUCGUAAAACUCUGUUAUUAGGGAAGAACAUAUGUGUAAGUAACUGUGCACAUCUUGACGGUACCUAAUCAGAAAGCCACGGCUAACUACGUG
rnacentral:rRNA from 1 species